CCACAGGGUGCUAUGGAGUUGUUGUCCUCUUUCCCCUGAUCUCUGCUUGCUUCACUUCUCAGAAGGGUCUCACUCCAGGAAGGGAACCUAAGGUGAAGGAGUCAGACGUGGCUGUAGGAUCAGUGUGGGCUACAGCAGCUUGCCUCCUGCUUAGCUCAGCUUUAAGGUGCUUGGGCACAAAAUCACCACAGCUGUCAGGGAUCACAGAGCCUGUUACCACCCAUCCUCACUCUGAAGUGAGCAACAGGACAGACUUAUGAGGUACAAAGGAAGAAGAAGCCUAUACUACUUAUACAUUUUCACAUGGGACCUUCAGUGGAGAAAGAAGGAAGAAGCACAGUGUAAAGAAGAAGCACAGUGUAAAGGAUGGGAUGAAGAAAGAAUAUGGACCUGAACUGUGUAUGCUUCCAUCCCUGAAGAUAUGGUGGUACAGCUAGCAUAAAUCAUCAGCAGUCGGCUUCUUGGGAGGCUUUUAUCUUGUGUUCCUGCUCCUAUCAUGAUGCUUUGAUCAAUGAAUCACAAGGGAUAAGUCAUGCAGCCAGACAUAGUUUUGUUUUUCACUUCUCUGUCUCUACACGUUUCACUUGCAAAUAUACUUGUCACCUGAUAGCAUGGGUGAAAUAGUGGUUAUCAUUAGCUAUUGUCUUUACCUCAUGGUGUGUGGCCUGUAAGGAGGAGGAGACACAAAAUAAAGACAAUAAAAAGUCCCACAGAGGGAAAAAAAAGUCAGAGAAAAAUAAAGGAUUUAAAUAUCAACAAGGGAGUGCACUAUCAGAAGGCUGGGCUGUCUCACAAUCCUGCCUAGUGCAAAGUUUAUCCUAAGAUUUUUUAUUUUUAUUUUUUCCCUGCAAAAUCAGAAAUCCCUCCCACUUUUCAUAAUGCAGAUUCCGGGCUGCAGCAGGACAUUUCCCAGGCGGGAGUAAGGUGUAAACACUUUAGCUACACAGAUGUGUCUUUUCACUUUUAGGAGGCAGUGUUGACAGUUAAAGGAAUGACAAAAGUUAAAUUCCAUCUGUAAUAUUCCCUCAGCCAAUGUAGGUAGCCACCCAGUGGUUUGGUUCACAUUUAUUUUUAUAUAGUCAUGAUUUUGUAACGUAUUCUAAAGAGCUAUCCCAUAACCUGCAGAGUGUAUGUAAGGGAAUCUGUGUAUUACUUCUUAGGAGUAAAAUAACCAAGAAAAACAAGUUUAUUAUCAGUAGUCUUACGUCCAUUAUAGAGGUGUUUGUACCUUGAGAAAGGUAUAAGGGUCAGUAAUCAGGAAGAGGUUAGAAGCUGCAAGACUGUAGCACUUUUUAGCACUUCUGUAAACUCUUUAACACAACUUUCUGUGCCUUGCUGUGCUGCAAACUGAUGCUUUAAGUCACCAGAGUAGACGUGUGUAAUAACUAUGCCUCCAAGGUUUAGCAAAAGGUUUCUGUGUCAGAUCUGUAGUGUGCAGUUAAUUUUCAUGGAAGGAGGAAUAUGAACACACGAAUAGUGACCUAUAAAAUGAAAUGUGGCGAGCUACAUCUCAUUUUACACUUUUUUUUUUUUUUUCCCCUGAGUGAAACAUCCAUUUAAUAAAUCAAAGUUCUCCACGGAAUUUAUAGAACUAUCUGAAAUGUAUUUUGUUUAUUGUUCAUUAAAUCUAAUCAAGACCAGCACAUUUUCCAACUGUAAAGAGACUAUUGAUUAAAGUAGAAAUCCUGCAAUGCAUUUAAAAAAAGGUAAAAUAUCAUAAUUCUGAAUUAGGUUGAUAACCUAUUGUCAUAUUUUGAACUGAAACAUUGAUCAAUAAUGUAUGUCAUUUUUCAUUCGAUUACAUCUGUAAUUUAGCAUACAUUUAUUGAUUUUAUUCAUUCCCUUGUUUCUAAAUCACUAAGAGGCUACAAUAUUUUGAUGUUGGUCUUACCUUGUUGCAUGUUAAAAUGUUCUGUCAAGCAGUCUUGUAGAGUGCUGUAGGAAACUAAUAGAAGUAUUUAUUUCUCCUUUUUAAAUGUUAUAGAAGUGAUGAGUAGUAUCACCAUAUUGUAUUUACUAAAAAUUGCAUCAAGUUAUCAACAUUUCCCUUCUCUGAGUACAGAUUUUAUGGAUAAAAUAGGCCAGACUUUUUUUUUUCUUUUUUUUUCUCCCCCUACACUUCUCUUACAUUUUACCAGGUUUUAUAUGAGCAUUUCUUAUCUUAGUUUCAGCUGUUUGAAGUUUGGUCAUUCAGCAUUCCUUUUUCAGUGCAGAAGGCAAAUAUGUGUUGUACGAAGAGUUCUUAAGAAGUUAAAGUACAGUAAAUUUAAGUUUUCAAUAAGUGGAUAUUUAAUACUGAAUGAUUAAAAAGAAAUACAUUCCACCUUCUUUGCAGAAUAACUAAA